GUAGGGUGCAAGCGUUAAUCGGAAUUACUGGGCGUAAAGCGUGCGCAGGCGGUGAUGUAAGACAGAUGUGAAAUCCCCGGGCUCAACCUGGGAACUGCAUUUGUGACUGCAUCGCUGGAGUGCGGCAGAGGGGGAUGGAAUUCCGCGUGUAGCAGUGAAAUGCGUAGAUAUGCGGAGGAACACCGAUGGCGAAGGCAAUCCCCUGGGCCUGCACUGACGCUCAUGCACGAAAGCGUGGGGAGCAAACAGGAUUAGAUACCCUGGUAGUCCACGCCCUAAACGAUGUCAACUGGUUGUUGGGUCUUCACUGACUCAGUAACGAAGCUAACGCGUGAAGUUGACCGCCUGGGGAGUACGGCCGCAAGGUUG
rnacentral:rRNA from 1 species